rnacentral:rRNA from 5 species
GGAUGCGAUCAUACCAGCACUAAAGCACCGGAUCC